rnacentral:rRNA from 1 species
GGCGAACGGGUGAGUAACACGUGGGUAAUCUGCCCUGCACUCUGGGAUAAGCCUGGGAAACUGGGUCUAAUACUGGAUAUGACCUUUCUCCUUAUGGGGUUUGGUGGAAAGUUUUUCGGUGUAGGAUGAGCCCGCAGCCUAUCAGCUUGUUGGUGGGGUGAUGGCCUACCAAGGCGACGACGGGUAGCCGGCCUGAGAGGGUGAUCGGCCACAUUGGGACUGAGAUACGGCCCAG